UAUUGAACUCGAUUUUCGAGGCGAAUUGAACACAAGCUACUCACUCGUCUAUGCUCAAGUUUUCAAGUCCCAGUCCAUCUCUUACUCAUUAUUCUAUGGCUGUAGCAGACAACAUGUAAAGAGGUUACAUGUGAGGUGGGAUUGUGGAUUAAAAAUCCAGCACCUUAAUAAUGACCAUGCAACUUGAGCCAUAUACACUCAAGAGCAUUAUCAUUAUCAGUUUCCUAACAGGAGCUUUUUUUGGAUUUAAGUUUAAGGAGUGGAGGAUCUGGUGGGCCAAGAGAAGACGAGACCAUUUUGUAGACAAGUUGGUUGAAGCGCAAAAGACCCUAGAAGUCUUAUCGAAGUCGCCGUGACGAUCACUGAUGUGAUGCAGUAGCAGCGAGAUGCAUCAUGACAAUACGUACCACUGAGUAGGAUAAUCAUCAGUGCUACUGAUACCACUUGUGCCCCAAGCGCAGUGUGAAGUGUGAGGUACUGGGAUAGCAGCGUGGUGCUACAUGACUGGUUGGAACACUGCAAGGAAUGAAUCCACACGCUGUGCAUGAGUUAUUUUGUGAUUUGCAAUUUUGAUAAAGCUCUUUUAAACCUGUUGUCAUUUGUUGCUCUCCUAUGAGCAGGCAGGGACUGUGACGGAUGCAGCAUUUUAGAGGGAGACACUAUAGUAUUUAUAAUUCCUGCUUGUAGCAUUAUAUGUAAGAUUAAUUGAAAUAUUAAAAGAGUACAGCAUUUAAA